UUCCUUAUAACUGCUCCGUUCUCUCUUUGUGUGCCCUUUUUCCCUCAGCUCCGUUUACUCGAGAUGGGAAUACUUCUGGAGGUAGGCCUGAUGGUGGUAGCAGUGCAGCCUAGUGGGCCCGUUGAGGUGGCUUUCGAAGAAGUUCCAUGGCCUUAGUGCCUUGUAAUACCAUGCUCUUAGAGCAUUUCUUUUGCCCAACUGUUAAACUUUAGAUUUGUUUCUGUUUAUGGUAUGGUGGCAUGCCUAAAUCCGUUUUCGCAGUAUUUUCUGGAUGACUGUAAUAGUUAUCUCCCCUACAUUGUAUGUUCAUCUGAAUGCUUCUCGUUAUUAUAACUGUGUGAUAUUUUAUUUAGUAGUUUAA